GACGAACGCUGGCGGCGUGCUUAACACAUGCAAGUCGUACGGUAAGGCCCUUUCGGGGGUACACGAGUGGCGAACGGGUGAGUAACACGUGAGUAACCUGCCCACAACUUUGGGAUAACGCUAGGAAACUGGUGCUAAUACUGGAUAUGUGCUCCUGCUGCAUGGUGGGGGUUGGAAAGCUCCGGCGGUUGUGGAUGGACUCGCGGCCUAUCAGCUUGUUGGUGGGGUAGUGGCCUACCAAGGCGGCGACGGGUAGCCGGCCUGAGAGGGUGACCGGCCACAUUGGGACUGAGAUACGGCCCAGACUCCUACGGGAGGCAGCAGUGGGGAAUAUUGCACAAUGGGCGCAAGCCUGAUGCAGCAACGCCGCGUGCGGGAUGACGGCCUUCGGGUUGUAAACCGCUUUCAGCAGGGACGAAGCUUUUUGUGACGGUACCUGCAGAAUAAGCACCGGCUAACUACGUG
rnacentral:rRNA from 1 species